CCCCCAUAGAUGUCUGCUAGGUGUUAGGAGGGCUUCCAGCGCCUUUAUUGGCUGAAGUUAACGCAUUAAGCACUCCGCCGGGGGAGUACGGCCGCAAGGCUGAAACUCAAAGGAAUUGACGGGGGCCCGCACAAGCGGGGGAGCAUGGGGUUUAAUUCAAAGCAACGCGAAAAACCUUACCGGGUCUUGACAUCCUCUGAAAACCCUAAAAAUAGGGCUUCUCCUUCGGGAGCAGAAUGACAGGUGGUGCAUGGUUGUCGUCAGCUCGUGUCGUGAGAUGUUGGGUUAAGUCCCGCAACGAGCGCAACCCUUGAUCUUAGUUGCCAUCAUUAAGUUGGGCACUCUAAGGUGACUGCCGGUGACAAACCGGAGGAAAGGGGGGAUGACGUCAAAUCAUCAUGCCCCUUAUGACCUGGGCUACACACGUGCUACAAUGGACGGGACAAAAAGCUGCAAAACCGCGAGGGGGAUCUAAUCUCCUAAAACCCUUCUCAAUUCGGAAUGGAAGCUGCAACUCCCCUACCUGAAGCUGGAAUCCCUAGUAAUCGCGGAUCAGCAUGCCGCGGUGAAUACGUUCCCGGGCCUUGUACACACCGCCCGUCACACCACGAGAGUUUGAAACACCCGAAGUCGGUGGGGUAACCUUUUUGGAGCCAGCUCGCCUAAGGUGGGACAGAUGAUUGGGGUGAAGUCGUAACAAGGUAACCGA
rnacentral:rRNA from 1 species